ensembl:lncRNA LINC00511 long intergenic non-protein coding RNA 511
ACUGGAAAGGAAGAAAUGACCGAGGGAGAAGGGAGGGCAUUUGAGGAGGAGAAAUAUUUUUCAAAGUCAUUUGAAUAUUAAAGAGCUGGGCCCAGAAGCCCUCCAUGUCCAGGAUGGAGAUCUGCAAGUCAAUCAAGUAUUUUUUAAAACGUAUUUUUCCCUCUCCACCCUGGUCUUCUCCUGUAACGUGUGGCCGCCUUUUCCAGCACGGCCUCCUGCCUUCCUGGUGCACUUUUUGGAGAACGUGGUGGAAUCAGAGGUUUCUGGCUGACUCGGUGGGUGCUUUGAACCAGGAAAGGACAAGAAAGAGGUGCCACCUCCUGAGUCCUGGUUCCUGCGGCUCCGUCGAAUCUGCAGUGAAGGCCUUUGGGAAGCGUGGGUUAUGUGGGUCCAGGGGUCCCAUCCUCCCGUGGAGGCCCUUGACCUGAGGAUCACUAACUCACACCCCACCGACUUCCGGCCCCCAACAAGGGCAGUGUUCCUCUUGCUCCAUUCUGCUCUGAAGUCCCCCAAACCGCUUCCUGGGGCUGCUUAGUGAAAUACAAGGCUCAUCUCUGAGGACCUCUACAGGGCUGGAUGGGAAGGACUGAUCCACAUUCCCACCAGGAAGUUUAGCAGAACCCCCGCGUGCCACCUGGACCCCUUGGAAGGACCUGGCUCAGGCUGGACCACCUCUUGAGAGGCAGGAGCUCUGGAUUUGAUCAAGAAUUCUUUGCUGAGCAUGGUGCCUCAUGCCUAUAAUCCCAACACUUUGGGAGGCCAGUGUGGGAGGAUCUCUUGAGCCCAGGAGUUCAAGACUAGCCUGGGCAACACAGAGAGACCCCAUCUCUAAAAUAAUAAUAAUAAUAAAAUAAAAAAUUAGCAGGGCAUGGUGGCAUGUGCCUGUAGUCCCAGCUACCCAGGAGGCUGAGGCAAGAGGAUGGCUGGAGCCUGGGAUGUUGAGGCUGCAAUGAACUGUGAUUACCCCACUGCACUCCAGCCUGGGCAAAAGAGCGAGAGACCCUGUCUCAAAUAAUAAUAAUAAUAAUAAUCUUAUUUUGGAGAAUAAAGAGACCUCUGGAUUUGAGGUGCCAUUUGGGUAGAAAGAAAAGACGUUUACACCGAGAAAUAGUCUGUGUUGCCCUGAAGGAGCAGAGGGAUGCAUCGCUGGAGGUGACCUACAGUUGAAGAAGACUCAUUAUGACAGACCUUGUCCUUCUUCCUUGUGGAAAGUGUUUCCUCUGCUGCUACUGCUCAUGAGACUCUUCCCCCUCCCUGUCCCAGGGAACCAAAGGGCUUUCUACCACACCCUUUCUUGCCCCCCGCCUCCCAUGUCUGCUGUGCCUUUGUACUCAGCAAUUCUUGUUUGCUCCAUUAUCUUCCAGCCGGAUACAGAGUGAAUAGUUAACCACACUUAGGUCAAAUAGGAUCUAAAUUUUUGUUCCUGCUCCGUGUAAAGAGGCCAGUGUUUGUGUGUUGCAAGCAGCCUUGGAAUAGUAACUCUUCUCAUUUGUUUGGGAUCUGGCCACCAAGUUCCAGAAUGAUACACGGAUCAGUGCAGAAGUUCAUCAGGCUCU